rnacentral:tRNA from 1 species
GCGGAUAUGAUGGAAUUGGCAGACAUACAGCACUUAAAAUGCUGCAAUAGGUAACUAUUAUAAGGGUUCAAGUCCCUUUAUCCGUA